CGGAGCGUAGCUCAGCCUGGUAGAGCGCCAGCUUUGGGAGCUGGAUGUCGCGAGUUCGAAUCCCGCCGCUCCGACCA
rnacentral:tRNA from 2 species